rnacentral:lncRNA from 1 species
UAGCCCUUGACCUUGUUCAAGGCCCUUGUCUAAACUGAGCCUCAUUCUUCUCACAGUUAAAACAAGGAGGGUGGACUAGAUGUCUCUUGCCCACUGACAUUCCAUAAUUUAGGAAGGAAUCAUUGACCUAAAGCAAGAGAACUCUGGAGAAUUCAGAAAUAUAAAAUAUAUGGCUUUUUGAGCUUUGGGUUAUUUUUGUCCAUUUCAGCUCAAUUUGACCAGAGAUUGAAGAUAAUAAAAGCUCUGCUUCUCCCAAAUUUGUGGGUACAGCCCACAUCCAAUUGAUUUACACUCCUCUUGCCAUCUUAGGAGAGUUUUGUUUGUACGUUGUUCAUCCUUAUCCUUUAGAUCCUCAGGUCAGGAGGCGUCCUCACUGUUUCUCUCUCUCUGCAGCAGGGACCUCUCCAGGCGCUCUCUUCAGGCCUCAGUCAAGCGGCUGCUGAUGGCCGCAGUAAAGGGGCUGUGAUUCUGAGAUAACUGGGCUGUAGUGGGGAUACAGAGCCUUUAAGAAUUCAUGAGUAACAAGAGGAAGAUGUCCUACAUUAGUGUAAUCUACAAGAUUGACUUGGUAAAGUAGAGACAUGAUUUCUGCUUCUAUCCCCUUCUGGUUUCCUCCUGCCCUCCUGGAGGCCUCAAGCUGCCGCACAAAUGCCUCAGUGCUUGAAGCACAGUGUUCUUAGGUCCCAAGGUCAGCCGUCUACCUAUUAAUACCUAGAGAUUUUAAGAAAACCAGAAUGUGUGAGUGUCAUGUGUGUAGCCCCACCCAAGUGUCAUGGUUUUUUGUUUGUUUUUUUUCUUUUUUUCUUUUUCAGCUACAUUUUGUUUUACUGGAAGUUCCCGGGCCAGGGAUCAAAUCUGAGCUGCAGCUGUGACCUAUGUUGCACCUGUGGCAAUGCCAGAUCCUAACCCACUGCUCCAGGCUGGGGUUUGAACCCAUGCUGCUGCAGAGACAUGCUGGAUCCUUAACCUGAUAUGCCACAGCGGGAACUCAAGUGUCAUACAUUUUAUUGAAUGCCUUCUGCAGAUACCUUACCUACAAAGGGAUCGGCCUGUAAAGGGAAUUUCUCCUCUGCAGGGAAGCAGAUGUAGGCUUCAGAGGCUUGUGGUGCCC